AAACGUUAACUAACAUAGUAGAUUAUAAAUUUAAAAAAAGUAUUUUUUAUAAUUAGUAUUGUGAAAAAAAAUUGAAAUAAUUAGUACCGUAAGGGAAUAGUUAAAAUUUAAAAAUAGUACGUAAGGUACCUUUUGCAUUAUGGUUUUUCAAAUAAUAAUAUGAAAAUUAUUUUCCCGAAUUGAAAAGAUCUAUUUUAAUAUGACGAUUUUAUGUUGCAAAAUGAUUCUAAAUAUUAAGAUAGGGGCGAAAAGUUAAUUCGAUUUUCAAGAUAUCUGGUUCUAGGUGAAGUUGGUUUAAUCAACUCAAGAGAGAAUAAAUAAUUUAUAAUUUAAACCUCUCUUGUGUCAAUACAAAAGAGAUAAGUUUUUUGUAAAAUCAUAAUUUAAAAAAGAGUUCAUAUUUCUUUUUAGAAAUUGAGAGUUUAAAGAAUUUUUAACAUAAUUUGAUUAAAAUAACCUAGAUCUAAAAAUAAUUUUUUCUUUAGUGUAUAAUGAAAAAAUGAGUAAGAAUCCAUUGUAAUAUCAAUUAAGGAACUCGGCAAAUAUAAUAAUUUCUGACUGUUUAACAAAAACAUUGUCUUUAAUAAUUAUUAAAGGUAAAAUCUGCUCACUGAGAUAACACUUAAAGAGCCGCAGUAGCCUAACUGUGCUAAGGUAGCAUAAUCAAUAGCACCUUAAUUAGGUGAUGGAAUGAAUGAUUAAACAAGAAAGUAACUGUCUCAAUUUGAUAAUUUCAUAAAUUAAAUUUUAAGUGAGAAUGCUUAAAUUAUAUUGAUAGACGAGAAGACCCUAUAGAUCUUUACUUUAAAGAGUGAAUUUUUCGCUAUAAAAAAGUUUUGUUGGGGCAAUAGGAAAAUACAAUAAACUUUUCCUUAAUAUUAACUCUAUUAAAGAAUUCAAGACCUUAUACUAUAAAUCUUAAGAUAAAGUUACCUUAGGGAUAACAGUGUGAUUAAGGGUUAGGAGGUCAUAUCCUAAUCUGUGUUUACAACCUCGAUGUUGAAUUAAGGUUACUUCAAGAAGUAGAAAGCUUGAAAGUUAGUCUGUUCGACUAUUAAAACCUUACAUGAUUUGAGUUCAGACCGACGUGAGUCAGGUCAGUUUCUAUCUUCAAUUUAAAUUAAGUAGUUUGUACGAAAGGAU
rnacentral:rRNA from 1 species